rnacentral:rRNA from 1 species
AGAGUUUGAUCAUGGCUCAGAAUCAACGCUGGCGGCGCGCCUAACACAUGCAAGUCGAACGAGAAAGCGGGAGCAAUCUCGCAAGUACAGUGGCGUACGGGUGAGUAACACGUGGAUUAUCUGCCCUGGAGUGGGGAAUAACGCUGGGAAACCGGCGCUAAUACCGCAUAUUCCCGAGAGGGGAAAGCAGCAAUGCGCUCGAGGAGGAGUCCGCGGCCGAUUAGCUAGUUGGCAGGGUAAAAGCCUACCAAGGCUAUGAUCGGUAGCCGGCCUGAGAGGGCACACGGCCACACUGGCACUGAAACACGGGCCAGACUCCUACGGGAGGCAGCAGUGGGGAAUCUUGCACAAUGGGGGAAACCCUGAUGCAGCGACGCCGCGUGAGCGAUGAAGCCCUUCGGGGUGUAAAGCUCUUUCGGCAGGGAAGAUUAUGACGGUACCUGCAGAAGCAGCUGCGGCUAACUACGUGCCAGCAGCCGCGGUAAUACGUAGGCAGCAAGCGUUGUUCGGAGUUACUGGGCGUAAAGGGUGUGUAGGUGGCCUGUUAAGUUCCGUGUGAAAUCUCCCGGCUCAACCGGGAGGGUGCGGUGAAUACUGAGGGACUAGAGUACGGGAGAGGAAAGUGGAAUUCCUGGUGUAGCGGUGAAAUGCGUAGAUAUCAGGAGGAACACCGGUGGUGUAGACGGCUUUCUGGACCGUAACUGACGCUGAGACACGAAAGCGUGGGUAGCAAACAGGAUUAGAUACCCUAGUAGUCC